rnacentral:lncRNA from 10 species
GAGGGCUUCAUGGGGUCUGUGCUCCAGGUCUGGGUGAUCGCCAACAAAGUGCAGGGCAGCCACAGCCUGAGCCGGGGGACAGUGUGUCAUCGCACCGGCGUGCAGCCUCACGAGCCCAAGGGCCACGGCUGGGACUACGGCAUCGGGGGAGGCUGGGACCAUAUCUCUGUCCGGGCCAAUGCCACCAGGGCCCCCCGGAGCUCGUCCCAGGAGCAGGAGCCGAGUGCCCCACCAGAGGCCCAUGGCCCCGUCUGCUGCUGAGGCCCCCCCACACACCUACAUGCAGGGACGGUGCCCAGUUUGGGGGAUCAAGGCUGAGCCAUUCUUGUGCUGGAGUGUGCACCGUGGGAGCAAUGUGGCCCAGGUGGACUCAGGAGGGAACCUGGCCCCAAGGCUGCGGCCACUUCAGAGGCACUGGCUGAGACGGCCCUGAAAUGUGAAGCUCCGCGGACACUCCCACACGUGUCCCCGUCUGCGAGGAGUCCCGGGGUGUGGGGCAUGGGGUGGGGCUGCACCUCCCAGAGGCCCCUCCCACCCUUCCCUUCCCCUCUCCCUUCUGCCUUUCCAGGACUAGAACCGGGAACCUGGAGCCCUCCGGGAACGCCGGCCCUGGGGCAGCAGAGCCAGGAUGGAGCCCUCCUGAGCUGGCAUCUCAGACAGCACCCGGGCCCGCCACCCCUCACCAAGAGAGAUGGCCAUGGGGCUCAGGGCCUCUUUACCAUGUGCAGUGACCAUUUCUCAGAGCAGGACUUGCAAAGAGGCUUUAAUUUCAAAAGUGAAGGAAGGAGGCCAGGCGCCGUGGCUCACGCCUGUAAUCCCAGCACUUUGGGAGGCUGAGGUGGGCAGAUCACCUAGGUCAAGAGUUUCAAACCAGACGGGCCAACAUGGUGA